GAUGAACGCUAGCGAUAGGCUUAACACAUGCAAGUCGAGGGGCAGCAUGGUCUUAGCUUGCUAAGACUGAUGGCGACCGGCGCACGGGUGCGUAACGCGUAUGCAACUUGCCUCACAGAGGGGGAUAACCCGUCGAAAGACGGACUAAUACCGCGUACACUUGGGAUAGGGCAUCCUGACCCAAGGAAAUGAAAUUCGCUGUGAGAUAGGCAUGCGUCCCAUUAGCUAGUUGGUGAGGUAACGGCUCACCAAGGCGACGAUGGGUAGGGGAACUGAGAGGUUGAACCCCCACACUGGUACUGAGACACGGACCAGACUCCUACGGGAGGCAGCAGUGAGGAAUAUUGGUCAAUGGGCGAGAGCCUGAACCAGCCAAGUCGCGUGAAGGAUGACUGUCUUAUGGAUUGUAAACUUCUUUUAUACGGGAAUAACAAGAGUCACGUGUGGCUCCCUGCAUGUACCGUAUGAAUAAGCAUCGGCUAACUCCGUGCCAGCAGCCGCGGUAAUACGGAGGAUGCGAGCGUUAUCCGGAUUUAUUGGGUUUAAAGGGUGCGUAGGCGGCCUGUUAAGUCAGCGGUGAAAUCUAGGAGCUUAACUCCUAAAUUGCCAUUGAUACUGGCGGGCUUGAGUGUAGAUGAGGUAGGCGGAAUGCGUGGUGUAGCGGUGGAAUGCAUAGAUAUCACGCAGAACUCCGAUUGCGAAGGCAGCUUACUAAGGUACAACUGGCGCUGAAGCACGAAAGCGUGGGUAUCAAACAGG
rnacentral:rRNA from 1 species